rnacentral:rRNA from 1 species
UGAGACACGGCCCAGACUCCUACGGGAGGCAGCAGUGGGGAAUAUUGCACAAUGGGCGAAAGCCUGAUGCAGCGACGCCGCGUGAGGGAUGACGGCCUUCGGGUUGUAAACCUCUUUCAGCAGGGAAGAAGCGAAAGUGACGGUACCUGCAGAAGAAGCGCCGGCUAACUACGUGCCAGCAGCCGCGGUAAUACGUAGGGCGCAAGCGUUGUCCGGAAUUAUUGGGCGUAAAGAGCUCGUAGGCGGCUUGUCACGUCGGUUGUGAAAGCCCGGGGCUUAACCCCGGGUCUGCAGUCGAUACGGGCAGGCUAGAGUUCGGUAGGGGAGAUCGGAAUUCCUGGUGUAGCGGUGAAAUGCGCAGAUAUCAGGAGGAACACCGGUGGCGAAGGCGGAUCUCUGGGCCGAUACUGACGCUGAGGAGCGAAAGCGUGGGGAGCGAACAGGAUUAGAUACCCUGGUAGUCCACGCCGUAAACGGUGGGCACUAGGUGUGGGCAACAUUCCACGUUGUCCGUGCCGCAGCUAACGCAUUAAGUGCCCCGCCUGGGGAGUACGGCCGCAAGGCUAAAACUCAAAGGAAUUGACGGGGGCCCGCACAAGCGGCGUCAAAGGAAUUGACGGGGGCCCGCACAAGCGGCGGAGCAUGUGGGUUAAAUUGAGGCAACGCGAAGAACCUUAUCAAGGCUUGACAUACACCCGAAAAAUUCUGAGAUGGGGCCCCCCCUGUGGUCGGUGUACAGGUGGUGCAUGGCUGUGUUCAGCUCGUGUGUUGAGAUGUUGGGUUAAGUCUCGCAAAGAGCGCAACCCCUGUCCCGUGUUGCCAGCAGGCCCCUGUGGUGUUGGGGACUCACGGGAGACCCCCGGGGUCAAAUCUGAGGAAGGUGGGGAGGAGGUCAAGUCAUCAUGCCCCCUAUGUGUUGGGGUGCACACGUGUUACAAUGGCCGGUACAAUGAGAUGUGAUACCGCGAGGGGGAGAGAAUAUCAAAAAACCGGUGUCAGUUUGGAGAGGGGUGUGCAACUCUACCCCACGAAGUGGGAGUGGCUAGUAAUAGCAGAUCAGCACUGUUGCGGUGAAUACGUUCCCGGGCGCUGUACACACCGCCCGUCACGUCUCGAAAGU